rnacentral:tRNA from 1 species
GCCCGGCUAGCUCAGGGUAGAGCAUGAGACUCUUAAUCUCAGGGUCAUGGGUUCGAGCCCCACCUUGGGCG